AACAAUCCGAGAUCGAUGGAGUCAGUACACAUACGUUCUAAAUAUGCAGAAUAAUUAGAUUGAAAUAGACAGUAUAAAAAACUCAUCAUCUGGGAAUCACGACACAAGUGCAAUAGAAUAUUAAUUAGAAAUAUUUUCAUCUAGUUGUUUUACUUUUUAGCUUUGUUCUUUGUACUUAUCACACUCGCUGUCAAUAUUAGUUUAA
rnacentral:lncRNA from 1 species